rnacentral:rRNA from 1 species
UACAGAGGGGGCAAGCGUUGUUCGGAAUUACUGGGCGUAAAGGGCGCGUAGGCGGCCUGCUAAGUCGAACGUGAAAUCCCUGGGCUCAACCCAGGAACUGCGUCCGAUACUGGUUGGCUUGAAUCCGGGAGAGGGAUGCGGAAUUCCAGGUGUAGCGGUGAAAUGCGUAGAUAUCUGGAGGAACACCGGUGGCGAAGGCGGCAUCCUGGACCGACAUUGACGCUGAUGAGCGAAAGCUAGGGGAGCAAACGGG